rnacentral:lncRNA from 1 species
AAAAGCAUCUUCAUAGUAGAGAAACCUGACAAACACUCCCUCAGCCAGCUGAUCAGUCAUAAUCAACAGGGAUAAGUCGUGCUGCUAUGUGUCCUUGAGAUAAUGUGAUGAAAUAGCACUUGACCUCUACAGUUUUCCUCCCCCAAACCCAAAACCCCAGUUGAGACAUGCAUCAGACAAAUCCCAGUAGAAGGACAUUACACAAAAUAUCUGACCACUUCUCAAACCUGCCAAGAUCAUCAAAAACAAAUAAAUUCUGAGAAAUAUGAUCAUAGCCAAAUGGAGCUAAGGAGAUGAUGCCUAAAUGUAACACAGUCUCCUGGAUGGAACCCUGGGACAGAAAAACAACAUUACAUAAAAUUGAUUUCUCUGUGCCCACCAACACCUGCAGACGAUCUUCCAAGGAAAUGCACCUUGGCUCCAGUACCACAAGAUGGAACUGUCUAGUUGCAGGAAAACAAGCUCAGGGCUCCCACUGA